rnacentral:rRNA from 1 species
CCUACGGGAGGCAGCAGUGAGGAAUAUUGGUCAAUGGACGAGAGCCUGAACCAGCCAAGUAGCGUGAAGGAUGACUGCCCUAUGGGUUGUAAACUUCUUUUAUAUGGGAAUAAAACAGGGUAUGCAUACCCUCUUGUAUGUACCAUAUGAAUAAGGAUCGGCUAACUCCGUGCCAGCAGCCGCGGUAAUACGGAGGAUCCGAGCGUUAUCCGGACUUAUUGGGUUUAAAGGGAGCGUAGGUGGAUUGUUAAGUCAGUUGUGAAAGUUUGCGGCUCAACCGUAAAAUUGCAGUUGAAACUGGCAGUCUUGAGUACAGUAGAGGUGGGCGGAAUUCGUGGUGUAGCGGUGAAAUGCUUAGAUAUCACGAAGAACUCCGAUUGCGAAGGCAGCUCACUGGACUGCAACUGACACUGAUGCUCGAAAGUGUGGGUAUCAAACAGGAUUAGAUACCCCAGUAGUC